UCGGUGGGACUUUCGUCCGUUU
ensembl:ncRNA